AUUAGACGAAUCAUCUGGAAAGAUGAAUCAAAGAAGGUAAUAAUCCUGUAGUCGAAAAUGUUGUCUCUCUUGAGUGGAUCCUGAGUACGACGGAGCACGUGAAAUUCCGUCGGAAUCUGGGAGGACCAUCUCCUAAGGCUAAAUACUCUCUAGUGACCGAUAGUGAACCAGUACCGUGAGGGAAAGGUGAAAAGCACCCCGGAAGGGGAGUGAAAUAGAACCUGAAACCGUGUGCUUACAAGUAGUCAGAGCCCGUUAAUGGGUGAUGGCGUGCCUUUUGUAGAAUGAACCGGCGAGUUACGAUUUGAUGCAAGGUUAAGCAGUAAAUGUGGAGCCGUAGCGAAAGCGAGUCUGAAUAGGGCGUUUAGUAUUUGGUCGUAGACCCGAAACCAGGUGAUCUACCCUUGGUCAGGUUGAAGUUCAGGUAACACUGAAUGGAGGACCGAACCGACUUACGUUGAAAAGUGAGCGGAUGAACUGAGGGUAGCGGAGAAAUUCCAAUCGAACCUGGAGAUAGCUGGUUCUCUCCGAAAUAGCUUUAGGGCUAGCCUCAAGUGAUGAUUAUUGGAGGUAG
rnacentral:rRNA from 1 species